rnacentral:rRNA from 1 species
AUGAACGCUAGCUACAGGCUUAACACAUGCAAGUCGAGGGGCAGCAUCAUCAAAGCUUGCUUUGAUGGAUGGCGACCGGCGCACGGGUGAGUAACACGUAUCCAACCUGCCGACAACACUGGGAUAGCCUUUCGAAAGAAAGAUUAAUACCGGAUGGCAUAAUUAUUCCGCAUGGGAUAAUUAUUAAAGAAUUUCGGUUGUCGAUGGGGAUGCGUUCCAUUAGGCAGUUGGCGGGGUAACGGCCCACCAAACCUACGAUGGAUAGGGGUUCUGAGAGGAAGGUCCCCCACAUUGGAACUGAGACACGGUCCAAACUCCUACGGGAGGCAGCAGUGAGGAAUAUUGGUCAAUGGACGAGAGUCUGAACCAGCCAAGUAGCGUGAAGGAUGACUGCCCUAUGGGUUGUAAACUUCUUUUAUACGGGAAUAAAGUGAGCCACGUGUGGCUUUUUGUAUGUACCGUAUGAAUAAGGAUCGGCUAACUCCGUGCCAGCAGCCGCGGUAAUACGGAGGAUUCGAGCGUUAUCCGGAUUUAUUGGGUUUAAAGGGAGCGUAGGCGGGUUGUUAAGUCAGUUGUGAAAGUUUGCGGCUCAACCGUAAAAUUGCAGUUGAUACUGGCGACCUUGAGUGCAACAGAGGUAGGCGGAAUUCGUGGUGUAGCGGUGAAAUGCUUAGAUGUCACGAAGAACUCCGAUUGCGAAGGCAGCUUACUGGAUUGUAUCUGACGCUGAUGCUCGAAGGUGUGGGUAACAAACAGGAUUAGAUACCCUGGUAGUCCACACAGUAAACGAUGAAUACUCGCUGUUGGCGAUAUACAGUCAGCGGCCAAGCGAAAGCAUUAAGUAUUCCACCUGGGGAGUACGCCGGCAACGGUGAAACUCAAAGGAAUUGACGGGGGCCCGCACAAGCGGAGGAACAUGUGGUUUAAUUCGAUGAUACGCGAGGAACCUUACCCGGGCUUAAAUUGCAACUGACGGAACCGGAAACGGUUCUUUCUUCGGACAGUUGUGAAGGUGCUGCAUGGUUGUCGUCAGCUCGUGCCGUGAGGUGUCGGCUUAAGUGCCAUAACGAGCGCAACCCUUACGGGUAGUUACCAUCAGGUUAUGCUGGGGACUCUACCCGGACUGCCGUCGUAAGAUGUGAGGAAGGUGGGGAUGACGUCAAAUCAGCACGGCCCUUACGUCCGGGGCUACACACGUGUUACAAUGGGGGGUACAGAAGGCAGCUACACGGCGACGUGGUGCUAAUCCCAAAAGCCUCUCUCAGUUCGGAUUGGAGUCUGCAACCCGACUCCAUGAAGCUGGAUUCGCUAGUAAUCGCGCAUCAGCCACGGCGCGGUGAAUACGUUCCCGGGCCUUGUACACACCGCCCGUCAAGCCAUGAAAGCCGGGGGUACCUGAAGUACGUAACCGCGAGGAGCGUCCUAGGGUAAAACUGGUGAUUGGGGCU